CAAUAGCGUAUAUUAAAGUUGUUGCAGUUAAAAAGCUCGUAGUUGGAUUUCUGGUUGAAGCGACCGGUCGGGCGUUGACUCGUCUGCACUGGAGUCGGUUUUGGCCAUCCUCUAGGAAAGUGCGUCUGGUAUUAAGUUAUCGGGCGUAUGAUCCUGGUCUUUUACUGUGAAAAAAUUAGAGUGUUUAAAGCAGGCCUUCGCCUUGAAUACAUUAGCAUGGAAUAAUAAGAUAGGACUUUGGUCUAUUUUGUUGGUUUGCAGACCGAAGUAAUGAUUAAUAGGGAUAGUUGGGGGUAUUUAUAUUCCGAUGUCAGAGGUGAAAUUCUUAGAUUUUCGGAAGAUAAACUUAUGCGAAAGCAUUUACCAAGGAUGUUUUCAUUAA
rnacentral:rRNA from 1 species